GCCCAGCCCUUUGCCCAUUUUUAAAAUUGGGUUGUUUGUCUUUUUGUUGUUGGGUUGUAGGUGUUCUUUAUAUAUUCAGGAUAUUACAACCUAAUCAAAUAUGAUUUACAGAUAUUUUCUACCAUUCUGUCAGUUGUCUUUUUACUCUGCAAUAGUACCCAUUCUUGAUGGGGCUAUUUUUUUUUUAUUAUUGAACUGAAAAAGUUCUUUAGAGGACUUGUCUAGAGACAAGUCCAUCAUCGGAUAUAUGAAUUGCAAAAAAAAAUUUUUUUAUUCUGUAGGCUGUGUCUUCACUUGCUCCUGGUGUCCUUUGAAGCACAAACAUUUUUAAUUUUGACAAUGAAUACUGGGCUCUUGGAAAAGAUGUUUAACAGAACUUUCACCUCCUUUAUUGGCCUCAGACUCAAGGUCUCAUAGGGCACCAUAAUGGUUCACUUAAACAAGUUCAAAUGAAAUCAAAUGAAACAUGGCACCUUUCAGUCAGCAGUCGAGCAUCGGGGUGAACUGUAAUGAGUCUGACUCCAUUUUUUUUUUUUUUUUUUUUUGAGACGGAGUUUCACUCUUGUUGCCCAGGCUGCAGUGCAAUGGCACGAUCUCGGCUCACUGCAACCUCCCCCUCCCAGCUUCAAGUGAUUCUCCCACCGCAGCCUCCCAAGUAGCUGGGAUUACAGGCAUGCGCCACCACGUCCGGCUAAUUUUGUAUUUUUAGUAGACACGGGGUUUCUCCAUGUUGGUCAGGCUGGUCUCGAAAUCCUGACCUCAGGUGAUCCUCCCAACCCGGCCUCCUAGAGUGCUGGGAUGACAGGCGUAAGCCACCGCGCCCAGCCAAUUCUGACUCCAUUUUUGAUGAUUAACUGCUGACAGCUGUCAAGCCCCAUCCCUCCCUUUUCCCCUCUUGCCGUAUAGCUGGACAAACCAAUAAAAAAGCCCAGCUGCUCCCUCCCUUGCUGCUGGCAGAUAGUUUCACCCACACAAACCCAGCCCAUGGGUAGGGGCCCUCACCCCAGCCUCCCUUCCAAACACAAAGCCAGGCCAGCUGCCCCUGUCUGCAUUCUCAAGCUACUUUGGGGCCUGUUUAGGAACCUGCUGUACUCUCCCCAGAAUGGCUCAUUACAUGAGUCACAAAUCUUUUCAUGCCUUCUCGGUGUGCAGAUAGCAUCAUCAGUCUCAACAUCCAAACCAAAUUUCACGUGGGUUAGGGGAGAUCUAUCCCACAUCUGUGGGGUGAUCACAGCAAUGCACAUCUCCUAAAACUCUCAACAUCCUCCUACGUCAAGGCCAAUACCACGGCUAAAAUAAUUAACAAACUGGACCAUUCAAUACAGAAGCCGCAAGUGGUUAGUGGCUAUUAAGAACUUGAAAUGUGCCUGAUCCAAACUGAGAUGUGCCAUAAGUAUAAAACCCACAAUGAAUUUCAAAGAACUAGUACUCACAAAAAGUAAUGUAAAAUAGCUCAUUAAUAAAUUUUUUAUGGCUUACAUAUAGAACUGAAAAUUUUUUUGAUAUAUUGAGGGUGAGGCAGAAUAAUGCACCCCAAAGAUGUCCAUGCCCUAAUCCCUAGAACGUGUGAGAAUAUAUUACUGUACAGAGCAAAAUAGAUUUUGCAGCUGUGACUAAGUUUAAGGAUUUUACUAUAGGGAGAUUAUACUGAAUUAUCUAGGUGGGUCCAAUCUAAUCACAUGAGUUCUUAAAAGCAAUGAACCUUUCCCAACUGUAUCGGGGAGAUGCAACCUGAGAAGUACUUGACCUGCCAUUGCUGGCUUCAAAGAUGAAGAAAGAAAACCAGAAGCCAAGAAAUACAGCAGUCUCUGGAAGCUAAGAACAUCCCUCAGCGUACAGCUAGCAAGAAAACAAGGACCUCAGCAAGGUAGUAAAUUCUGCCAACAACCCAAAUGAGCAAGAAAUUGAUUCUCUCCCAGAACCUCCAGAAAAGAACACAGCCUACCACGCCUUGGUUUUAGUCUGAUGAGACCUGUAUCGGACUUCUGACCUAUAGCACCGUAAGAUAACAAAUUACUAAUAAGUUUAUGACAGCAGUAAUAAAAAAACUAUUACACUAGGUUAAUUAUUUAUUCUAAUUUAAUAUUAAUAAAUUAGUAACAAUUAUUAAAACUAAUUUAACCAGUUUCUUUUUACAUUUUUGGUUUUUUUUUUUUUUGAGACAGAGUUUCACUCUUGUUGCCCAGGCUGGAGUACAAUGGCGCGAUCUGGGCUCACCACAACCUCUGCCUCCCAGGUUCAAGUGAUUCUCCUGCCUCAGCCUCCUGAGUAGUUGGGAUUACAGGCAUGCGCCACCACGCCCAGCUAAUUUUGUAUUUUUAGUAGAGACAGGGUUUCUCCAUGUUGGUCAGGCUGGCCUUGAACACCUGACCUCAGGUGAUCCACCCACCUCAGCCUCCCAAAGUGCUGAGAUUACAUGCGUGAGCCACCACACCUGGCCUUUACUUUUUUAAUGUGACUACUAGAAAAUUAAAAGUUACAUACUGUAUAUGACUCACAUUUGUGGUUCACUUUGUUUCUGUUAAACAGUGCUGAUCACACACAGGCACAUCACAUAUUUUUUAACCCAUGACACUACAUUGACUUUGUAUAUAUAGAGAGAGACGAGGUCACUAUGUUGAUAAAGCUGGAGUGCAGUGGCACAACACAGAGAGAGACCUUGAUUAUAGCUUACUAUAGCAUCCAGCUCCUGGGUUCAAGCAAUUCUUCCACCUCAGCCUCCCAAGCAGCUGGGACUACAGGCACCACUGCCUCUGGCUUGACAUAGACUUUUUGAGGACAGCACACUAGUUGUCUUGCAGAAUAUUCCCCCUACUCUGGACUUGUCAGAUUGCUUUAUCAUGGUGUCAUUUAACUUACUCCUCUACCCUGUAUAUUCCCUGUAACCUGGAAGUUCAUUUAAACAGUUUCAUUAGAUAUGGGUUAAACAUUUUUGGCAAGAAUACAAAGGUGGCACUAUGACGUCAUGUUGUAUGUAUCACAUCAGGAAGCUCAUAAUGUUUGGUUGUCUGACUAUAAAUGAUGCAAGUUCGAUUAUUAGUUAAGGUCGUGUUGUGAGUUGAACUGUGUCCCCCCAAAAGAUAAACUGAAUUCCAAACCCCUGGUACCGGUGAAUGUGACUUUAUUUGAAAAUAGUGGUUUUUGCAGAUAUAAUCAAGCUAAGAUGAAAUCAUACUGGAUUAGGGUGGGCCUAAUCCCAUACUGUCCUUACAAGAGAGAAAUUUGGACACCAAGACACAGAGACGUUCAGGGUGGAUGCCAAGUGAUGACAGAGGCAGAGGCUGGUGAUGUGUCUAUAAGGCCAAGAAUGCCAAGCAUCGCUGGCAACCACCAGAAGCCAAGAAAGAGGCAUGGAACUGAUUCUUCUUCAGAGCUCCCAGAAGGAACCAACCCUGCUGACACAAUGAUUCAGACCUCUGGCCUCCAGAACGGAGAGAAUACUUUUCUAUUGUUUUAAUCCUAUUGUUUAUUCUAUUGUUUAAAUUAUUGUAAUAAUUUGCUACAGCAGCCCCAGGAAAUAAGU
rnacentral:lncRNA from 1 species